AAUCCCAGUUGUCUCUAGUCCAGCUGCUUACCCAGAACAUGAAGUGAAACGUCAGGAUGCCCACACAUGGCCAGACUGCUAAAGCACUCCUGGGAAUGUGAAACUCUCCAGUAGGGACGGGAAGAUUGCUCUUACCCCAGCCUUCUUAUUUAGCAUCCCUAUACCUCGCUGCCUUUGAGGUAGAGUGCACGCCGGGUACCCCGCGUUCCAGCGCUGGGCCUCCGGCCGUAGUGCGCACGCGCAGGAGACCACGCCUACAUCGGGGGGGCUGAGUCCCUUAAGGCGGCCACGCCCAUCUCAGGAUGGGUUUAAGCAAUAUUUGCAUAAACCACGCCCACCUAGCGUUCCUACAUUAAUUAAUGACCUAUCUAUUUAUAGCUUUCUUAAACAAUUAUGUCUCCAGAAUCUUUCAGGAUAAAGUAUCAUGCCUAAAACAAUGGCUCAUUGUUUUUCUACCUAGAGAGACCAAUUUUCUCACCAUAACCAAAAAAUUAAGCCUGUUGUAGAGUCAUAAAUUAGUCGCGCCUAGAAGCUAAGGCAGCUCGCUCUGAAGGCCUGUUUCCUAGGCUACAUACGAGGGACAUGUUCCUUAUCCUUUCGCCUAGGGGAAAGUCCCCGGACCACGGGCAGAGAGUGCCGCGUGCACACGCGCGUAGACUUCCCCCGCAAGUCACUGUUAGCCCGCCAAGAAGCGACCCCUCCGGGGCGAGCUGAGCGGCGUGCAGCGGGGCGUCAUCCGU
rnacentral:lncRNA from 1 species